rnacentral:lncRNA from 1 species
AGCUGGCAAUACCUGGCAUAUGUGUUUGGUCCACAAGUCUGGGUCCAAUCUUGAAAACAGGACUUACUGGGUUGGGAUUGGAGCAACACUCCUGAUGACACGGAGCUCCAAUGAUAGCCCCCCUACACUGCAGACUCUGAGAUCCCUCCACCUUACUUCGGAUGUCUUCUGCACCAGUCUACUGAGGUCACCCUGUGAUCAUGGUGACUCUCCACCAGCACACAGGGACAUCUGGAUAGCAGCAGCAGGUGACUCAGUCUUCCAGUCCCAACACAUAAACAAGCUGCUGAAAAAGCAACUUCAAAGUCUGUGUAAGGAAG